UACGUAGGGUGCGAGCGUUAAUCGGAAUUACUGGGCGUAAAGCGUGCGCAGGCGGUUCGUUAAGUCAGCUGUGAAAGCCCCGGGCUCAACCUGGGAAUUGCGGUUGAAACUGGCGAACUAGAAUCUGGCAGAGGGGGGUGGAAUUCCACGUGUAGCGGUGAAAUGCGUAGAGAUGUGGAGGAACACCGAUGGCGAAGGCAGCCCCCUGGGCUGAGAUUGACGCUCAGGCACGAAAGCGUGGGGAGCAAACAGG
rnacentral:rRNA from 1 species